rnacentral:rRNA from 1 species
UACGAAGGGGGCUAGCGUUGCUCGGAAUCACUGGGCGUAAAGGGCGCGUAGGCGGCCAUUCAAGUCAGGGGUGAAAGCCUGUGGCUCAACCACAGAAUUGCCUUUGAUACUGUUUGGCUAGAGGCCGGAAGAGGUAAGUGGAACUGCGAGUGUAGAGGUGAAAUUCGUAGAUAUCCGCAAGAACACCAGUGGCGAAGGCGGCUUACUGGUCCGGUUCUGACGCUGAGGCGCGAAAGCGUGGGGAGCAAACAGG